rnacentral:tRNA from 1 species
AGUUAAUGAACUUGUUAUAAGUAUAUAUUUUGAAAAUAUAAAAAAGGAGAAUAAUACUUCUAUUAACUU